GGAAUUUUGCGCAUUGGGGGAAACCCUGACGCAGCAAUGCCGCGUGGGUGAUGAAGCAUCUUGGUGUGUAAAGCCCUGUCAUCAGGAAAUAAGGUUGUGUCGUUAAUAGCGGUACGACUUGAAUGUACCUGAGGAAGAAGCCCCGGCUCACUCCGUGCCAGCAGCCGCGGUAAUACGGAGGGGGCAAGCGUUAUUCGGAAUUACUGGGCGUAAAGGGCGCGUAGGCGGUCUGAUCAGUGAGAAGUGAAAGCCCUCGGCUUAACCGGGGAACAGCUUCUCAUACUGUCAGACUUGAGGAUGGGAGAGGGAAGUGGAAUUUCGGGUGUAGCGGUGAAAUGCGUAGAUAUCCGAAGGAACAUCAGUGGCGAAGGCGACUUCCUGGACCAUUACUGACGCUGAGGCGCGAAAGCGUGGGGAGCA
rnacentral:rRNA from 1 species